UACUGAGUCACCCCAGUUUGUCUUCUCGG
rnacentral:piRNA from 1 species